rnacentral:rRNA from 1 species
GGAAUAUUGGACAAUGGGCGAAAGCCUGAUCCAGCGACGCCGCGUGUCGGAAGGAGUCCUUCGGGAUGUAAACGACUUUUGGUGGAGACGAAUAAGCAGCUCAGGGAAUGGGGCUGUGAUGACGGUAUCCGUGGAAUAAGCCCCGGCUAACUACGUGCCAGCAGCCGCGGUAAGACGUAGGGGGCAAGCGUUACCCGGAAUUACUGGGCGUAAAGGGAGCGUAGGCGGGAGGUCAAGUCCGGUGUGAAAGACCCUGGCUCAACCAGGGAUGAGGGCUGGAAACUGACAAUCUUGAGUACAGCAGAGGAAGAGGGAAUUACCGGUGUAGGGGUGAAAUCCGUAGAGACCGGUAAGAAGGCCAGUGGCGAAGGCGCUUUUCUGGGCUGUUACUGACGCUGAGGCUCGAAAGCCAGGGGAGCAAACCG